CCAGACUCCUACGGGAGGCAGCAGUGGGGAAUAUUGGGCAAUGGGCGCAAGCCUGACCCAGCAACGCCGCGUGAAGGAAGAAGGCUUUCGGGUUGUAAACUUCUUUUCUCAGGGACGAAGCAAGUGACGGUACCUGAGGAAUAAGCCACGGCUAACUACGUGCCAGCAGCCGCGGUAAUACGUAGGUGGCAAGCGUUAUCCGGAUUUACUGGGUGUAAAGGGCGUGUAGGCGGGACUGCAAGUCAGAUGUGAAAACCACGGGCUCAACCUGUGGCCUGCAUUUGAAGCUGUAGUUCUUGAGUACUGGAGAGGCAGACGGAAUUCCUAGUGUAGCGGUGAAAUGCGUAGAUAUUAGGAGGAACACCAGUGGCGAAGGCGGUCUGCUGGACUGCGACUGACGUUGAGGCCCGAAAGCGUGGGGAGCAAACAGGAUUAGAUACCCGGGUAA
rnacentral:rRNA from 1 species